rnacentral:rRNA from 1 species
GGGCCCGCACAAGCGGUGGAUUAUGUGGUUUAAUUCGAAGCAACGCGCAAAACCUUACCUAGGCUUGAAAUCCAGAGAAUUUAGAGUAAUGUCUGAAGUGCCCGCAAGGGAAUUCUGUGACAGGUGCUGCAUGGCUGUCGUCAGCUCGUGUUGUGAAAUGUUGGGUUAAGUCUCGCAACGAGCGCAACCCCUAUCUUUAGUUGCCAGCAUUAAGUUGGGCACUCUAGAGAGACUGCCCGGGUUAACCGGGAGGAAGGUGGGGAUGACGUCAAGUCCUCAUGGCCCUUAUGCCUAGGGCUACACACGUAAUACAAUGGUACAUACAAAGGGAAGCGAACCCGCGAGGGGAAGCAAAUCUCAAAAAGUGUAUCUCAGUCCGGAUUGGAGUCUGCAACUCGACUCCAUG